rnacentral:rRNA from 1 species
GUCGUCAGCUCGUGUCGUGAGAUGUUGGGUUAAGUCCCGCAACGAGCGCAACCCUCGUCCUAUGUUGCCAGCGGGUCAUGCCGGGGACUCAUGGGAGACUGCCGGGGUCAACUCGGAGGAAGGUGGGAUGACGUCAAAUCAUCAUGCCCCUUAUGUCUUGGGCUUCACGCAUGCUACAAUGGCCGGUACAAAGGGCUGCGAUACCGCGAGGUGGAGCGAAUCCCAGAAAGCCGGUCUCAGUUCGGAUUGGGGUCUGCAACUCGACCCCAUGAAGUCGGAGUCGCUAGUAAUCGCAGAUCAGCAACGCUGCGGUGAAUACGUUCCCGGGCCUU